rnacentral:rRNA from 1 species
AUUGAACGCUGGCGGCAGGCCUAACACAUGCAAGUCGAGCGAGCGGCGGAAGGGUGAGUAAUGUAUGGGGACUGCCCGAUAGAGGGGGAUAACUACUGGAAACGGUGGCUAAUACCGCAUACUAUCGGAUAACCCAUAGGGGAUUAGCUAGUAGGGGGGGUAAAGGCUGACCUAGGCGACGAUCUCUAGCUGGGCUGAGAGGAUGAUCAGCCACACUGGGACUGAGACACGGCCCAGACUCCUACGGAGGCAGCAGUGGGGAAUAUUGCACAAUGGGCGCAAGCCUGAUGCAGCCAUGCCGCGUGUAUGAAGAAGGCCUUAGGGUUGUAAAGUACGUUCAGAGGGGAGGCGUUACCCGAAGAAGAAGAACCGGAUAACUCCGUGCCAGCAGCCGCGGUAAUUC